rnacentral:rRNA from 1 species
ACACAUGCAAGUCGAACGAGCGAUGGAGAGCUUGCUUUCCAGAGCGAGUGGCGAACGGGUGAGUAACGCGUGAGGAACCUGCCUCAAAGAGGGGGACAACAGUUGGAAACGACUGCUAAUACCGCAUAAGCCCACGGCUCGGCAUCGAGCAGAGGGAAAAGGAGUGGUCCGCUUUGAGAUGGCCUCGCGUCCGAUUAGCUAGUUGGUGAGGUAACGGCCCACCAAGGCGACGAUCGGUAGCCGGACUGAGAGGUUGAACGGCCACAUUGGGACUGAGACACGGCCCAGACUCCUACGGGAGGCAGCAGUGGGGAAUAUUGCACAAUGGGGGAAACCCUGAUGCAGCGACGCCGCGUGGAGGAAGAAGGUCUUCGGAUUGUAAACUCCUGUUGUUGAGGAAGAUAAUGACGGUACUCAACAAGGAAGUGACGGCUAACUACGUGCCAGCAGCCGCGGUAAAACGUAGGUCACAAGCGUUGUCCGGAAUUACUGGGUGUAAAGGGAGCGCAGGCGGGAGAACAAGUUGGAAGUGAAAUCCAUGGGCUCAACCCAUGAACUGCUUUCAAAACUGUUUUUCUUGAGUAGUGCAGAGGUAGGCGGAAUUCCCGGUGUAGCGGUGGAAUGCGUAGAUAUCGGGAGGAACACCAGUGGCGAAGGCGGCCUACUGGGCACCAACUGACGCUGAGGCUCGAAAGUGUGGGUAGCAAACAGGAUUAGAUACCCUGGUAGUCCACACCGUAAACGAUGAUUACUAGGUGUUGGAGGAUUGACCCCUUCAGUGCCGCAGUUAACACAAUAAGUAAUCCACCUGGGGAGUACGACCGCAAGGUUGAAACUCAAAGGAAUUGACGGGGGCCCGCACAAGCAGUGGAGUAUGUGGUUUAAUUCGACGCAACGCG